GCCCUUGUAGUAUAUAAGUCAAUACUCUGGUCUUGUAAACCAAAAAUGGAGAAUACUUACUCCCUAGGGCA
rnacentral:tRNA from 1 species